CCCUUAGAUGUUCUGGGCCGCACGCGCGCUACACUGAUUCAUGCAACAAGUUUUGUCCUUGGCUGAUAGGCCUGGGUAAUCUUUGAACGUGAAUCGUGAUGGGGAUAGAUGAUUGCAAUUAUUCAUCUUCAACGAGGAAUUCCUAGUAAACGCAAGUCAUCAGCUUGCAUUGAUUACGUCCCUGCCCUUUGUACACACCGCCCGUCGCACCUACCGAUUGAAUGGUCCGGUGAAAUCUUCGGAUCUGAGAGAUGUCUGAUUAAUUUCGGACGCCUUUUGGAAAAGUUGCUUAAACCUUAUCAUUUAGAGGAAGGUGAAGUCGUANCA
rnacentral:rRNA from 1 species